ACUGGAAUUGGUGAGGCAGAGCCGCGAUGUUCCGGAUCGAGGGCCUCGCGCCGAAGCUGGACCCUGAGGAGAUGAAACGGAAGAUGCGUGAGGAUGUGAUCUCUUCCAUACGGAACUUCCUCAUCUAUGUGGCCCUGCUGCGAGUCACUCCUUUUAUCUUAAAGAAAUUGGACAGCAUAUGAAGAGUGGGCAUCACGUGUGAACGCAUGAUGUGAAGAGCCUGGUUACAGUUUCUACUCUUGUCUGCAGAUGAAUAAGCCCAGAGAGAUGUAAGAGACUCUUUGAAUGGACAUAAACAUUCUGCUUGUUAAGAACAAGUUUGGCUUUGGUAACUGACGUUUAUAGCUAAAAGAUAAAGCCAUUUGGGAAUUAGGAAAAGAUGUUUUGUGGUCAUAGUACACCCUUUUUGCCUGUGAUAAUCAGCCUUCAUGAAUGUUGAUAUAAUUGUAAAUGAUGUCAAACUCCAUUUUCUAGCAAGUGUUAAUUACAAGGGAAUUAUAUCUGCAAUGGCACUGUCUUGUGAGUCAUUUCUGUGUACUUUUUUACUUUCGUCUGGAGUAUAUUUGUUGAAGAGUUCCCUUCAAUUUGUUAUGUUUUGUGGAAGCCAGCACACAAUGCCAUCAUUUAAGCACAAGACCAUUCGUCUAUAUUUUAAUACGUGUACCAGCCAAGACAAUAGGGCUUUUAUUUGGCUUAACCCAUGUUUUGCAGCAAACUGACAGUCACUGGUGAGGCUAUUAUAAUGUGACUGUUACUGAGUCCUUCUUGUUAGGGACUGGAGAAUUUACUAAUCCUGAUAAAAUGCCAUGGUUUUAUGCUUAAGCAGUCUUUGCGAAAGGCAGUGUUACUGCAGGAUGCCAAGAAUAUGUAAUGCCACCAAAGGGGAAAAUGUUAUAGUUAAGUCAGAUGCUUCUUGAAGUUUGUUGGGAGAAGGGGAUGGUGCUUAACCUUCUUCCCAGAUGCAACUACAUUCAUCUCCUUUUAUCUAAUUCUGUUGGGUUUACGUUUUUGUCUCUCAGUAACAUGAGCAUGUUGUUAUGUUAUGGUUUUUCUGUUGUAGACAUUAUCUCCUGACUUUUGUAUGUAAGGAUUUGUGUCUUUCCUCUCCUUGACUCCAUCUCUCACACAUCUCAUUUCUUUUUUUCUUCCAGUUAAUAUUAGUGUGAUUUUGAUUAGAUUGAUUUCAUUAGGGCUCCAAAUGCUGUUCGUUGUUUUCUUUUUCCUUUUUUUAUUUUCCUAGUUAGAGUUUUCUGUGCACUUAACACACUAGGUCAGCUAAACUUUUUGCCGUAUGUCUAAAUUGCUUAUGGCGUUUAGUAUCAGGAGGUACACUUGUUUUGUCUUCCUGAGUAAGCCUUUCCUGAUGCUUUCGGACCUGUCCCAGUCUGGACUGAUAGUCUUUUGUGCCUGAUGCCUGGCUUUAUUCUGGGAUCUCCCUUCACCACCAUCCUGGGAAUGCCUUUUCCCUCUUCUCUCAUGCUGAAGCUCUUGUUUUCUAUAUCUCGUGGCCAGCAUGUGUCACUGAAUCUCUGUGUUGAGUACAGUACCCCUGCCUAUAACUGUCCAGUAUCUCACAACCUAGAGAACCCUCUAAUUUACCCUUGUCAGAAAUAAAAUUCUAAUUUGGGGAGGGAGGUGGGGAAGAGAGGCUGCUUAGCUCUGGAGAGUUGCAUAGAGCAUCUAACUACUUAAACCUACAACCAAUUUCAUUUUCUUUUUACAGCUGUACCUGUGGCAUAUGGAAGUUCCCAGAGUAGGGGUUGAAUUUGAGCUGCAGCUGCCAGCCUCUGCCACAGCCACAGCAAUGUGGGAGCCAAGUUGCAUCUGCAGCCUACACUGCAGCUUGUGGCAACACCAGAACCGUAACUCACUGAGCAAGGCCAGGGGUCAAAUCUGCAUCCUCAUGGAUACUAGUUGGGUUCUUAAUUGGCUGAGCCAUAAUGGGAACCCCCAACCAAAUUUUUUUUUUUUUUUNUUCAUGGUCUACUUUUAAAAGGUACACGACGUCACUGGUUCCCAAAUGUUUUAGGGAUUCUAUGAUGUAAAUUGAGUUGUUUUGCUUUUCCUUCUGCUGACUCCAAAUUUGGUUUUCUUGGGUCUAUCAUUUAUUUACUGUUUGUCCACCUGCUUUCCAACUUCUGACUUUGUUGCUAUUGUCUCCUUUCCUUUUCUAUCCUUUUAGGUUUAUACUUAAUCUUUAAACAAACAUCUUAAAACAAAAAUCUUUGAUGUUGUUUAAUGGAAUCUCAGGAGGCAGAGGAAUUAGAAGCUGGUUCUCAAUCCACCAUCUUUGCCCAGAGAGCAUGUAUUUUACCCAUGUGUCGGGAGACAUGUUUCUACAAUCUUUUCUUAGCCUCUUUGCUUCUAUUUUCUAUGCUGAAAACUCCAUCUUGUCCUGCUUUACUUUACCCCAUAUUCCUGCUUGAAAAACAGUUGCAGUGGUGGUAAAUGACUUAAGAACCAAGACCUAAAGGCAUAAGUUAUUCAUAUGGUCACCUGAAUGAGGACAUAAUGCGUUGGUCUAGGCAUGCUCGACCUGUGCAGAUUGGCAGCUGCUUGCACAGCGUAUGUCCUGUUAAAAUAAGAGAAAGAGGAACCUCACGGCCCCAGGCGGUUUAUGAGUGGUCGUUAGCAGAAUGUGCAUCAGCAAGGAGACCGAGGUGCAAACCUAGGCCCACCAGGUUGCCGGGUGCCAUUUGCGGAAGCACAAUAAUGAAUCUCUAGAUGCUAUGCAUUGACAGCUAACACCAAGCUUCCCCAAACACUAAUGAUUGUUAAAUGCCUAAAGGUCAGAAUAAAAGCUUAACCAUCUACAAGCUAUGUGGCUUUUAAAAUGAUAAAAGAACUUUUAAAAAUAAUUAAAAAAAAAAACUAUAUCCUGCAUCUACAACCCCCUCCACACUUGAUGUAAUCCUAAAGAGCACAAUAAAAGCAGUGUGGUUUCUUGAGGCAGUGCUCUUGGUCCCUGAGACCUUGAGUCCCCCAGUUCCCACCUUUAAUUAAGAUAAAUGUCUCUAUGUCUUGUUUUAUUUUAACCUUUUUCUUAAGUUUCACAGCACCUGUUCUUUGGCUCUCACCUGCUGAGCUGGUCUCGGCACCCAUGUGAUGCUAUGUUUCAUGCUGGUAAUUUAUAUCCAUUCCAAACUUAAGAGGGUGAGUAUAUAGCACCAUGGUCAUAAACACUGGCUCUAAAGACAAGCAGACCUGAUUUUGGGUCCUGGCUCCAAGACUUAAGAGAUGGUUGACUUUUAGCAGCUGAAUGUCUGUAUCUCAUUUUCUUCAUCUGUAAAAUUAGCAAAAUAGAUACAUCAAUCUGCUUCACUGUGUGCUAAGGGUGAUAUGAAAGAAUACAAAUAGAGCGGUUAGCACAGUAGUGGGAGUUCCCUUCCUGGCUCAGCAGUAAUGAACCUGGCCAAUAUCCAUGAGGAUGCACGUUCUGUGUCGUAAGCUGUGGUGUAGGUCACACAUGCGGCACGGAUCCUGCAUUGCUGUGGCUGGCAGCUGCAGCUCUGGUUUGACUCCUAGCCUGGGAACCUCCAUAGGCCACAGGUAUGGCCCUCAAAAAAAAAACACAGUAAUGAUGUUUGGUAAACUGGUUAUUAAUGGUUAGUCUUUGGUAUAAGGUGUUCAGAAGUGACUGUGCUUGCAUUCACUGCAUUAAAUAGGUUUUGUUCCUUUCUCCAGAUGCUGUGAGAUAGCAUACUUGCUAUCUGUAUAUAAACUUCAAAUGUACUGAGCACAUUAAAUUCAUUAUCUAAAAAAGAACCCUAACUAAUCAGUGUUAAUGUCAUUUUACCUAUGGAGGGUUUGAGACUCUGGAAGUUUCAGUGGCCAGUAAAUAGCAGCUGGCCAAGGUUUAGGGCCUUUUGAUGUUUAUUUAUUGUACCCUAUCCUUUAGUGCUUGAUGGGGUGUUACCCUGGUUCUGGCAUAUGUUCAAGCCAGAACAAGAGAAAAUGUGACAGUGCAGUUUUUUAUGGCUGACUUUUAAAAAUUCAGGCCGUAAACUGUACCAGGGUGUCUAAUACUUGUAAUUAACAAUUCUGAAACAGUAUAUUAGAACACAGUUGGAGAGAUAGAUACAAGUAGAUAUGUAUGUGUUUGGUUUGAAUAUGUAAUAUGAAAUAGGAAAGAACCUAGCAAAUUUGAAUUGUGUAAACUCUUGAAAAGUAUCAUUGAAAGAAAUGGGGAUAAUUGGGAGAAAAUUUUUGUUAAUUCUCCCCAAACAGGUUUGCAUAGAGGGAAAUACGAAUUUUGCGGACUUCUCAUUGUGGCACAGCAGAAACGAAUCUAACUAGGAACCAUGAGGUUGCGGGUUUGAUCCCUGGCCUCGCUCAGUGGGUCAAGGAUCCUGUGUUGCUGUGAGCUAUGGUGAAGGUUGCAGAUGCGGCUCGGAUCUGGUGUUGCUGUGGCUCUGGCGUAGGCGGGCAGCUGUAGCUCAGAUUCGACCCCUAGCCUGGGAACCUCCAUGUGCUGCAGGUGAGGCCCUUAAAAGACAAGACCAAAAAAAAAAAA
rnacentral:lncRNA from 1 species